CCCCUCUCAGGGUCGCACCUGGAGAAUUUCCAGUAGUCUACUAGCCUCAACUCUGGGAGGGAGAGUCAAGCAGAGGCCUGUCCAUUCCAUUCCUAGCUUGGGCAGUGGCUAGCGAGUGGAAGGCAAUCGGCUACAAGU